rnacentral:rRNA from 1 species
GAUGAACGCUGGCGGCGUGCCUAAUACAUGCAAGUCGAGCGAACAGACGAGGAGCUUGCUCCUCUGAUGUUAGCGGCGGACGGGUGAGUAACACGUGGAUAACCUACCUAUAAGACUGGGAUAACUUCGGGAAACCGGAGCUAAUACCGGAUAACAUGUUGAACCGCAUGGUUCAACAGUGAAAGACGGUUUUGCUGUCACUUAUAGAUGGAUCCGCGCCGCAUUAGCUAGUUGGUAAGGUAACGGCUUACCAAGGCAACGAUGCGUAGCCGACCUGAGAGGGCGAUCGGCCACACUGGAACUGAGACACGGUCCAGACUCCUACGGGAGGCAGCAGUAGGGAAUCUUCCGCAAUGGGCGAAAGCCUGACGGAGCAACGCCGCGUGAGUGAAGAAGGUCUUCGGAUCGUAAAACUCUGUUAUUAGGGAAGAACAAAUGUGUAAGUAACUAUGCACGUCUUGACGGUACCUAAUCAGAAAGCCACGGCUAACUACGUG